rnacentral:tRNA from 1 species
AGUAUGGCUUAUUGGUAGAGUGCUUGCCUAGUAUGCAUGAAGUCCUGGGUUCAACUCCUCAGUACU